rnacentral:lncRNA from 1 species
GCCAUUUCAGGGAGCUAGCCGACGCUGUCGCAGGGGUGGAUCCUGAGCUGCCGAAGCCGCUGCCCUGCUCUCCGUCGCGGGCUCCUUUAAUCCCAUUGUUUCUUUUAGAUUCGCUUGGGCCUAGACGCCCUCGGGGCCCGAUAUUCGGGUUGGGCGGUACCGCGGCCUGGGCCUAGUGGCUUAACAGUAGCGACAGCAGCAGCGGCGGCGGCGGCGGCAGCCGACUUCCCGUGGCGAGCACAGGCGCGCGGAAGCCCGCACAGGCGAGUAGAGAAAAUGGCAGACGAUAUUGAUAUUGAAGCCAUGCUUGAGGCCCCUUACAAGAAGACUUGCCUAACGAUAUCUCACCUCUACUCCCAUGAAUUCACCUUUGAUUCCAGUGUGAACUGUCAAUCAUAAGGGCGAGAUGUGUGACAGAGGUGGCAUCAAGCUCUUACAGUCCCAACCCUCCAACGGAAAUGGGCGAAGAUCUCAGGAAUGGCAUCGGUCACAGGAAAUCGAUAGUGGCUGGCUGCUAGCAUGGCCACUUGGGGCUUAGGCAGAAAUAGAGCCAUGGUACCGACAAAAGGGACAAUAGCACAUGGAAUAAAACUCAAAAUGACUUC